rnacentral:lncRNA from 1 species
GUGGUUCCCAGCUAGUGGUUUUACACAGAAAGAUUUAGACUCGGAGUGGCAUCUUUAUGUUGAAAGGGAUCACGGUGUGUACUGCUGUUUAACUUACUUUUUACUUUUUUUCAUUGUUGCUGUUGAGUGUUGUUUGCUUUGGUUUGAAACAAGAUGAAAGAUUUUAUUUUGAUGGCCUAAACUUCCUCUGAGUAGAAGCAGGCCACCGUUGAGCCUAUAUUUAUAUGGCCUGAAGACAGAUAGGUGCCCAAGCAAGCAGAAAGCUGCUGAGAUGAAAUUUAAGGAUUAAUUUCAGUGAAGCUGAGCCGUGUCCUCUGCAACUAGAUGUGACAUCCCCGCUGUCCAGUUCACAGACAUCCAACUCAGGGAUGGACAUGUACCCUGAGCAUAGUACUCCUGGUCGAGGCUUCCAUCCUUGGAGUCAGUGCAUCCUCGGAGCCCGGGCCAGUGACCCGCAUAGUAGGGGCUCAAUAAAAAUGGACUAGCUAGUGGAAAGAGAUGGAACAGGCAGCAAUAUGAAGUUCAAAGCCUUGGCUCACACCUGAUUCUCCCAGGGAGGGCUGCCUGAGCCCCAGAACCGAACCCCCCUGCUUAUAUGAAGGGGGCUGCAGAACCGCAGCCUGGAUGGGGGGGCUUCAAAGCACAACUGCCGAUAUAUCAAGCGUCCUCUCCACCAGGACAGCACCCCCCCACUCACCUCCCCAAAUAAACCUGCGUAAUGAAGACAGAUGGCCUCGCUCAGCACCGCCGUGUGCAGGUGGGGCCGGGGCGGCCCGAGGCCACUCACCCCACCCUGGAGCGGGGCCUGGGGUGUCACCAGGACGGAGACCAGCCUGCACCCCCUUCAUCACCGCUCCCCGCCGGGGGCAGCAUCCCUAUGUGAUAAGCCGGGUCAGAUUUCCACUGCGGAGACGUGGUUUUGGCUCUCUCCAUCUCUGGAAACCGAAGUCAGCUCACAAAUGAGAUGUCACAUGUGUCCGGCAAUGGCGUCACAGGCCUCCUGCGUGCAAAGAAGUUUCCAGAAGGACGUCUGCCCCAGCCCUGCGUGGUCUCGGGCUGCCUGAUGCUGGUUUUAUAGCAAUCAACCCGGGGCCAGAAGUCCGUGCGGAGCCUGCCUGGGAGCCUGCCCGCUGCAGUUGGGAAAUGCAUGCCACAUGCCUGGGAUUCCCAGGGGGCUGGGAAGGAGGCUCUUCCCUGGGGGCCCUGGCUCUUCCUCCACCAGGCUUAUCUCCUUUCAUGCCAAUAAAAAAGAAAUAUUUGCAGCAAUAAUAAAAUAGGACCGGGGAUUAACUGUGUUCCUCCCUUGAAUAUUAGGAAAAUGUUUGCCUGCCAGAGAAGCAACCAGGGAUUAAAGAGCUCCCUGCUGGAGACGUGGGGCUGGGAGCAAAGAGGUUGGACAUCCU